CCUACGGGAGGCAGCAGUGGGGAAUCUUGCGCAAUGGGCGAAAGCCUGACGCAGCCAUGCCGCGUGAAUGAUGAAGGUCUUAGGAUUGUAAAAAUUCUUUCACCGGGGACGAUAAUGACGGUACCCGGAGAAGAAGCCCCGGCUAACUUCGUGCCAGCAGCCGCGGUAAUACGAAGGGGGGCUAGCGUUGCUCGGAAUUACUGGGCGUAAAGGGAGCGUAGGCGGAUAGUUUAGUCAGAGGUGAAAGCCCAGGGCUCAACCUUGGAAUUGCCUUUGAUACUGGCUAUCUUGAGUAUGGGAGAGGUUAGCGGAACUCCGAGUGUAGAGGUGAAAUUCGUAGAUAUUCGGAAGAACACCAGUGGCGAAGGCGGCUAACUGGCCCAUUACUGACGCUGAGGCUCGAAAGCGUGGGGAGCAAACAGGAUUAGAUACCCUGGUAGUCCACGCCGUAAACGAUGAGUGCUAGUUGUCGGCAUGCAUGCAUGUCGGUGACGCAGCUAACGCAUUAAGCACUCCGCCUGGGGAGUACGGUCGCAAGAUUAAAACUCAAAUGAAUUGACGG
rnacentral:rRNA from 1 species